rnacentral:rRNA from 1 species
UAAUACGUAGGUGGCGAGCGUUAUUCGGAUUUACUGGGCGUAAAGGGUCCGUAGGGGGACAUUUAAGUCAGAUGUGAAAUUUCAGGGCUCAACCCUGAACCUGCAUUUGAAACUGAAUGUCUAGAGUUUGGUAGAGGUAAGUGGAAUUUGUGGUGUAGCGGUGGAAUGCGUAGAUAUCACAAGGAACAUCAAAGGCGAAAGCAGCUUACUGGGCCUAAACUGACCCUGAGGGACGAAAGCUAAGGUAGCGAAAAGGAUUAGAUACCCUUGUAGUCUUAGCCGUAAACGUUGUACACUCGAUGUCGGGGGAAUUAGCCCCUUCGGUGUCUAAGCUAACGCGAUAAGUGUACCGCCUGGGAAGUACGGUCGCAAGACUA